GACGCACGCUGGCGGCGUGCCUAAUACAUGCAAGUCGCACGCAGUGGGGACGGGUGAGUAACACGUGGCUAACCUCCCAUCAGAGGGGAUAACACUUGGAACCAGGUGCUAAACCGAUACUGAUGGAUGGACCCGCGGUGCUUUAGCUAGUUGGUGAGGUAACGGCUCACCAAGGCCACGAUGCAUAGCCGAGCUGAGAGGGGUGGCUGCCCUACUGGGACUGAUACACGGGCCAGACUCCUACGGGAGGCAGCAGUAGUGAAUAUUGUGGGAUGGGCGAAAGGCGGACAGGGGAACGACGCGUGAGUGAAGGAGGUGUUGGGAUCGUAAAACGCUGAUGUUUGAGAGGAGGUAUCUAACCAGAAAGCCACGGCUGGCUACGUGCCAGCAGCCGCGGUAAUAC
rnacentral:rRNA from 1 species